AGUGAACGCUGGCGGUAGGCCUAACACAUGCAAGUCGAACGGCAGCACAGUAAGAGCUUGCUCUUACGGGUGGCGAGUGGCGGACGGGUGAGGAAUACAUCGGAAUCUACUUUUUCGUGGGGGAUAACGUAGGGAAACUUACGCUAAUACCGCAUACGACCUACGGGUGAAAGCAGGGGAUCUUCGGACCUUGCGCGAUUGAAUGAGCCGAUGUCGGAUUAGCUAGUCGGCGGGGUAAAGGCCCACCAAGGCGACGAUCCGUAGCUGGUCUGAGAGGAUGAUCAGCCUCAGUGGAACUGAGACACGGUCGAGGCGCCUACGGGAGGAAGCAGUGGGGAAUAUUGGCCAAUGGCCGCAAGCCUGAUCCAGCCAUACCGCGUGGGUGAAGAAGGCCUUCGGGUUGUGAAGCCCUUUUGUUGGGAAAGAAAAGCAGCAGGUUAAUACCACGCUGUUCUGACGGUACCCAAAGAAUAAGCACCGGCUAACUUCGUG
rnacentral:rRNA from 1 species